AUAUAUACAUAACGGUGACACAAUUCUUUUAUAUAUUUAUAUAUGUAUACAUAUUCUACUCCGUUUUUUCUUAAAAAGCUUUGUUAUGAUCGGACUUAUACCUCUUUGUCUUUCUUUUUUUUUUUUUUUUUUUUUUUUUUUUUUUUUUUUUUUUUUUUUUUUUUUUUUUUUUUUUGUGGUCUGAAACACCACUCUCUUUCUCUUAAAAGCAUUAAGCAAAAAAAAAUCUCCCCGGCCUCCUGUUCCCUUUCCUUCCCUUUUUCAUGGCACAGUAUCUCACAUUUUCGACAUAACAAAAAGUAAAAAAUUAUAACAAUUCUAAUGAUUGAUUAAGAUGAGCAGAACGAAUAAAAAGAAACCUGUUUUUCUAGAGGGAGUUAGAGGAUGCGAAUAAAAAACGACUGUAAAAUAUCAAAUUGUAAUAUUUUAAUACUGAUUUGCAGAUGUGCAUAAUUUUAACAUAUAUAGCUGGUUAUGAAAUAAAAGCGAACUGUAACUGAUACUGAUAUUGUGUGAGACACGGUAUCUGUCGAUGGAUAAUUAAAAUAAAAAAUAAAAAAAAUAAAAAAAAAAAAUGGAAAAAAGAAACUGAGUAUUUGAAAAGGAUCAUGACAUAAAUUUCCUGUGUUAUACUACUAGGGGAAUUAUGAUAGUUACACAAGAAGAAAUAUUUGUUUUGUAUAUCUCUUAGGGAUAAAUAAACUUUUCAAAAAAUACAUUUCUCGAAAACGGGUUUUCUUCUUCUAGCACACCAACAAUCCAUUUCCGAAUGUGUACAUAAUGCGUAAACAAAAAAAACAAUCGACAUUUGUACGGGUUCAUCAUUUCAUUAGCUAAUUAUAUUGUAUUAUGUUAAAUAUGUAAAAUAUAUAUUCUAAUAUUAUAUAUUGUACGAAUAUAUACUAAAAAAAAUGUACCGCAUAUAUAUAGAGCAUUAAAGAACACAUGUAUGAUCUUUUGACUUACCUUACGUUACAAGCGAUUCGAAAUGACGAGUAGCUAGAGCGAAACAAAAAAAGAAAAAUAAAAUAUAAACGAGUUAUUGUACACAAUAUUACAAUAAAUUUAAAUGGAUCUUCAAAUCUAAUUCAAACAAAAUCUAAUAAGCGUAUGAACAGUUUUGCAAAAUGUUAAGCGCAAUUAACUACACGAUAUUUUAUGGUGUCCCGUGUUAUACAUUUUAUAAAUUUCACGAGAUAUACCAAAUGUAAAAAGAACAAAACAUAUAUAUAAUUAUUAAUGUAAUACGCAUGCAUUUUUCGUAAGGAAAGACAAAGAGAAGCAUUAAUGUGAAAGAAGUGAGGAAAAAAGAGAAAUCAAUUACAUAAUUACACACUGUGUGUUGCUUUAGUGUAAUUUAUGUGUGUACAUAUAUAUAUAUAUAUCAGAGAGAGAAUCAUGAGAGCGACCAGCUGAUAACAGAAUGUGUAAUCACUUUUCCGCCCCGUAAACUACCGCACGUCCACGAGUGGUACACAUUGGAACUACGCAGCCAGUCCACGAGCGACAUGUCGCUCGUCCACAGCGUGCGGUUCUAUUGCGUGCAAUGUGCACGUGUCCAAAUGGUCACCUUCUUCAGGCGUACAUUCCCGACAAAUCUGUAUCGAUGUCGUUUUAUUUCGAGGCGAAUUACGGAUUGCCAAGCGAAUGGAAUUCCACUUACUACUAUUACGACGAAAGUUAUUUCGAAAAACGAAGUCUCAGUCGUCAACUGAUAUACAGCUUGUUCACAAACAAACUGGAAAGUUAAAAAAAAUGUGAUUAAAACCACACACACGCAGAUAUAUUCUCUACCAACACUCUGGGCUAUCCUGAACAAGAUUGUUUGUUGAAAGUAAUUUGUCAAGCUGCAAAAUAUGCUUUAAGCGAAAACGGUGUGCUUGGUGAUAUUCUCAAAAUCAUAUUCACACCUUUCACGUCGAGAAGCGAGGAGCUUCCAAAUGACAUCACGCAAGCUGAGCACGAGCAAAUUUGCGAUCAACGUUACG